rnacentral:piRNA from 1 species
UUUCUUUGUACUACAAAAUAUAUUU